UGAACAUGUGAAGAAGGUAAUGAACCCUCAAUAUAUUUGUAUUCCUUACUACAAUCUUAACCUCCGUUGGAAUUUAUAUGUGAACACUACUCUGGCGAAACAAUACAUAAUGGUGCAAGUAGCAACAUCGGUCCUGCAGUUUUCCAAAUAAGUUUAGAGUUUACAUUAAUGAGUUAAAUCAACGUGCGGAGGAACUUUCAACAGAGGCUGAGGUAACAGGACAAUAUAGCUGACAAAAGAGAACAAAUACUUUUGUUCGCAAUUCCUAGAUUUGUUUUCUGUAUGUUAGCAUGGAAAGCUUAAGAAUGUGUACUUGUGUACUCUAUACUUGAUGGGAAAAGAUGGCUCACACAAAGCACAGCGGGUGUGAGUAAGUUGGUAUCAAUCAGGGCGCAGCUGCAAAUCUUGCCACUAGCUAACCUUAAAGGUUAAUCUGACCAUGCAACAUACUCAAAAGUUCCUGGGAAACUAGUUCUAGUGCGCUACAGAUACUGAUUCAAACUGUUGGCAUACAAUUUAAAUCAUGCUUGCAGGUUGGCCAACCACUGCAUAAAACACUUUAGUGGUUAUUGCUGUAACUCUGACAUCUUGCCUACAUCAUUUAAAUUAAAUAUUAAAAGGAUGAAUGAAAAGAGCACUAUUAUUAACCUCAAGUGCUGAGAGCACAAAAAAGAACAAAAAGAGCUGUCACUUGCUGUCACUUCCUGUCACCUGCUGAAAUUUCUCAUCAACCCUUUGUCUCUGUUGUCUUUGCUAAACUCUGCACACAUGUCAAUGAUCAUCUUGUUUUGUUUACUUAUUUUCAGAUAAAGAGGGAAAGAAUGGAAAACAUGAUGCCUGAGGUCCUAAGAGUCAUGUGCAGAACUGCAUCUGCUCUAAUCCAAUGAAAAUAAGGUAGUGUGAUCCUCAAGAGGAGGUAUGUGUAAUAAAUGUAUGUGCAUCAAAUCAUUAGUGAAUGUCCAUCAGCUCAAGACCUUCCUAAAUGAGGGUUGGAGCAUUAACGUGAACGCCGCUAGAACAAGAGGGCAAUCGAUCAGUCUUAAUUACAUUAUGGUAAAUGGACUGUACUUGUAUAGCGCUUUUAUUGUCUUCCGACCACUCAAAGUGCUUUAACACUACAUGACAUCAUUCACCCAUUCACACCCAUUCAUACACUGAUGACAGGAGAACAAUACACA
ensembl:lncRNA